UUGGCAGGUGGUUCCGGCAAGUCCACCAGAUGGUUCUGGCUCAUCCUGAAGGUGGUUAUGGCAUAUCUGGCAGGUGGUUCAAUCAUGUCCAGCAGGUGGUUCAGUCUUGUUCAGCACGUGGUUCAGUCGUGUCCAGCACCUGCUUCUGGCAUGUGAGAAAGCUGUUUCUGGCGUAUCCGGCAGGUGGCUCCAGUGUGUCCGGCAGGUGGUUCAGUUGUGUCCAGCACCUUGUUUCUGUGCGUGUGACACCUGUUUCUGGCAUAUCAGGCAGGUAUUUCUGGCAUGUCCAGCAGGUUUUUCACUCAAGUCUGGCAGUUGGUUCAGGCGUGUCCAGCAGGUAUUUCUGGCAUGUCCAGCAGGUUUUUCACUCAAGUCUGGCAGUUGGUUCAGGCGUGUCCAGCAGGUGGUUCUGGCAUGUUGGGCACCUGGUUCCAGCAUGCCCAGCAUGUGAUUUGGGAAUGUCUGUAAUGUGGUCCUGGCUGGUCCAGCAGUGGUUCAGACUAGUAUGGCAGCUGCUUCAGGCUUGUCUGGCACCUGGUUCUGGCCUGUCCUGGACCUGUUUCUGGUAUAUCUGGCAGAUGGUGCCGGUGUGUCUAAGAGGUGGUUCCGGUGUGUCUGGCAGAUGGUUUUUGGUGUACUCAGCAGGUGAUUUGGAAGUGGCCGGCAGGUGUUUCCUCCAUGUCUGGCAACUGGUUCUGGCGCAUUUGGUAGGUGGUUUCAGUGUAUCCGGCACCUGGUUCCCCCAUAUGCAAAAGUUGGUUCCAGCAUGUCUGGCAGGUGGUUCCGGGGUGUCAGACCAGAGAUUCCACCAUGUUUUGCAGAUGGAUCAGUGCUGUCCAGCAGGUGGAUCAGUCGUUCUGGCAGUGGGUUGCAGCAUAUCUGGCGGUGGUUGUGGCGUGUCCAGAAGGUGGUUCUGUCGUGUUCGGCAGGUGGUUCUGGUGAGUCAAGCAGGUGGUUAUGGCAUGUUUGGCAGGUGGUUCAGGCGUGUCUGUCAGCUGGUCCAGGUGCAUCUGGCACAUGGUCCAGGCAUGGCCGUCCCGUGGUCCAGGCAUUUCUAAAACAUGGUUCUGACAUGUCCGAAAGAUGGUUUGGGCGUGUCUGGCAUCUGAUUCAGUCCUCUCCGAGAGGUGCUUUGGGGGUGUCCCACAGGUGGUCCUGGUGUGUUUCCGGCCAGUGGUUCAGCAUGUCUGGCACGUCAUUCGAGUAUGUGUGGUCUGGGGUUCUGGUUUGUAUAGCAGGCAGAUCCAGUGUGUCUGGCACCUGGCUCCGGCAUGCUUGGCAGGUGGUUCUGGCAUGUCCACCAGAUGGUUCCGGUGCAUCCUGAAGGUGGUUAUGGCGUGUCCAGCAGGUGGUUCAGGCUUGUCCGUCACUUGGUUCCGUCGUGUCCAGCACCUGCUUCCAGCAUUUGCGUCACCUGUUUCUGGCAUAUCUGGCAGGUGGCUUCAGCAUGUCCAGUGGGUGGUUCAGUCAUCUCCUGCACCUGGUUAUGGCGUGUGCAACAACUUUUUCUAGCGUAUCUGGCAGGUGAUUCCAGCAUGUCUAGCAGGUGGUUCACGCUAGUUUGGCAGGUGUUUUGGGUGUGUCCAGCAGGCGGUUCUGGCCUUAGGGCACCAGGUUCCGCUGUGUCCAGCACUUGGUUCUGGCAUAUCCUGCAGGUGGUUUCAGUGUAUCUGGCCCCUGGUUCCAGCAUAUCCAACAGGUGGUUCCGGUGUGUCUAGCAGGUGGUUCAGGUGUGUCUGGGAAGGGGUUCUGUUACAUUCGGAAGGUGCUUCCGGCGUGUCUGGUGGGUGAUUCCAGUGUGUCUGGCAGUUGGUUCCAGCAUGUGUGGCUGGUGGUUCCAUCGUGUCUGUUUGCUGGUUCUGAUGUGUCCGGUGGGUGCUUCUGGGGUGUCCGGCAGCUGCUUCCCACAUGUCCAGAGGGUGAUUUCACCACAUCCAGCAGGUGGCUAUGGCGUGUCCAGGAUCUGAAUCCAUCAAGUUGGGUGGUGGUUUUGGUAUGUUUGGGUGGUGGUUCCUGCGUGUCCAGCAGGUGAUUUUGGCGUGUCUGGCAGAUGGUUCCAGUGAGUCAAGUAGGUGGUUGCAGCGUGUCAGGCAGGUGGUUCAGGUGUGUCCAGUAGGUGGUUCAGGCCUGUUCGGAAGGUGGUUUCGGCGCAUCCAGCACCUGGUUCUGGCAUAUCUGACAUGUCGUUCCAGCGUGCCCAGCAUGUGAUUCCAGAUUGUCCAUCAAGUGUUUCAGGCAUAUCCAGCAGGUGUUUCAGUCUUUUCUGGCAGGUGGUUCCAGCAUGUCCUGCCAGGGGUACUGGCGUGUCAUUCAGGUAGUUCCAGCGUGUGAGGCAGGGGCUUAUAACAUGCCCAAGACCUGAUUCUGGCGUCUCCAGUGCAUGGUUCCAGAGUGUCCGGGUUGUGGCUCCGAUGUGUCCAGCAGUUGGUUCCAGCAUGUCAGGCAGGUGGUUCAGGCGUUUCCAGGGGAUGGUUCCGGUAUGUCCAGCAGGUAGUUCAGGUGUGUCCAGCAGGUUGUUCAGGCAUGUCUGUCAGCAGGUUCAGCUGCAUUUGGGACAUUGUCCUGGCAUGGCCAUCCCGUGGUCCAGGCAUUUCUGAAACGUCGUUCUGACGUGUCCAAAAGGUGGUUUGGGCAUGUCCAGCAUCUGAUUCAGGACUGUCCAGGAGGUGCUUUGGUGGUAUCUGGCAGGCAGUCCAGGUGUGUCCAGCAUUGAUUCCGGCAUGUCCAGUGUUUCUUUCUAGAAUGUCUGGAGUUUGGUUCUGGGACGUCCAGCGGGCGAUUCCAGUGUGUCCAGCACCUGGCUUUUCAGUAGGUGGUUCCUGCAUGUCCACCACAUGGUCCCAGCGUGUCCUGAAGGUCAUUCCGGCAUGUCCAAUAGGUAUUUCAGUCCUGUCCAGCAAGUGCUUCAGGCUUGUUCGGCAGUUGGUUCAGUCGUGUCCAGCACCUGGUUCCAGCGUGCGUGACUCCUGUUUCUGGCAUUUCUGGCAGGUGAUUCUGGUGUGACCAGCAGUUGGUUCAUGCAAGUCUGGCAGGUGAUUCAAGCGUGUCCAGCAGGUGGCUCUGGCAUGUCAGGCAGCUGGUUCCACCUUGCCCAGCAUGUGGUUCCAGAAUGUCCGUAAAGUGGUUCAGGGUGGUCUAGCAGAUGGUUGAGGCUAGUCAUGCAGCAGCUGCAGGCUUGUCUGGCACCUGGUCCUGGCCUGUGCUGGACCUGUUUCUGGUGUAUCCAGCAGGUGGUUCUGGCAUGUCCUGCACAUGGUUUUGGUGUAUCUGACAGGUGAUUUGGACGUGUCUGGCAGGUGUUUCUGCCAUGUCUGGCACCUGAUUCUGGUGAUUUCGGCAGGUGGUUUCAGUGUAUUUGGCACCUCGUUCCGGCAUAUCCAACAGGUGGUUCCGGUGUGUCAGGCAGGUGGUUCAGGUGUUUCUGGCAUGUGAUUCUGGUACGUCUGUAAGGUGGUUCUGGGAUGUCCAGUGGGUGCAUCCAGAGUGUCUGGCAGUUGGUACCGGCAUGUCUGGAGGGUGGUUCUGGAUGUCUGAGUGGUGGUUCCAGUGUGUCGGGUGGGUAGUUCUGGCAUGUCUGUUGGGUUGUUCUGGCGUAAAAGAGGCCAGGUUCCGGCGUAUCUGGCAGGUGAUUUUGGCGUGUCCAGCAGGUUGUUCUGGCAAGUCAAGCAGAUGAUUGCGGUGUGUCCCACUAGGUUGUUCAGGCAUGUGCAAAAGGUGGUUCAGGUCUAUCCUGAAGGUGGUUUCUGCACGUCUGGCACCUGGUUCUGGCAUAUCUGACAUGUGGUUCCAGCGUGCCCGGCAUGUGGUUCCAGAUGUCUGUAAAGUGGUUCAGUAAUAUCCGACUGGUGGUUCAGUCUUGUCUGGCGGGUUAUUCAGCUUUCUCUGGCUUGUGCUUCCGGCAUGUCCUGCCAGUGGUACUGGCGUGUCAUUCAGGUGGUUCCAGCAUGUCUGGCAGGGGUUUCCUGAGUGUCUGGUAUGAGUUUCCAGUGUGUCUGGAAGGUGGUUCUGAUGUGUCAGGAGGGUGCUUCUGGGGUGGCUGGCAGUUGGUGCCCGCAUGUCCAGUGAGUGAUUCCAGCGUGUGCAGCAGGUGGGUACAGCGUGUCCAGGACCUGAUUCUGUCAUGUCGGAUGGUGGCUUUGGCAUCUUUGGGUGGUGGUUCUGGCGUGUCCAGUAGGUGAUUUCAGCAUGUAUGGCAGGUUUUUCCACCCUGUGUGGAAGUUGGUUCUGGUGUAUUCAGGACUUGGUUUUGGGGUAUCCAGAAGUUGAUUUUGGCGUGUCUGGCAGGCUAUUCUGGUGUGUCUGGCACGUGGUUCUGGCUUGUCUGGCAUGUGGUUCUGGCAUGUCCACCACCUGGUUCUUGUGUAUCCGGUGGGUGGUUUCAUGGUGUCCAGCACCUGGUUCUGCUGUAUCUGACAGGAGGUUCCGGCGUGACUGUCAGGUGUUUCCAGGGUCUCAGGCAGGUGGUUCUGGUGUGUCUGGCUGGUGGUUCAGCUGUGUUUGGCAGGUGGAUCAGUGCUGUCCAGCAGGUGGAUCAGUCAUGUCUGGUGGUUGGUUUCAGCAUAUCUGGGGGUGGUUCCAGCAUUUUCAGAAGGUGGUUCUGGCAUGUCGAGAAGGUGGCUCCAUCGUGUCUGGCUGGGGCCCAAUAACCUGCAUCCCUUGGCAGACAGUCCAGAACCACCUGCCAGGCACGCCAGCACCACCUGCCAGCUAAGCCAGCACCAGGUGCCAGACACAACUAAACCACCUGCCGGACAAGUUGAACCACCUGCUGGAGAGGUCUGAGCCACCUGCCAGACAUGCCAGAACCAUGUCCUGGGCACGCCGGAACCACCUGCUGAACAGGAAGGGAAAAGCUGACAGACAGCCCUGAUCCACCCAACGGACAUGCCAUAACCACAGUCCAGACAUGACAGCAUCACCUUCUGGACAUGAGAGAACCACAUUCUGGACAUGCCAGAACCACUCCUCAGACACACCAGAACCACCCACCGGACAUGACAGAACCACCUUCCAGACACGCUGGAACCACCUGACACACUGGAGCCACCUUACUGACAUGCAGGCAUCACCCAACAGACAUGCCAGAACCACCUGAGGGACACGCUGGCACCACCUGCUGGUUACACCAGAAUGAGGUGGUAGGAAUGCCAGAACCAGCUGCCACUCAAGCCUGAAAAAUCUGUCAGACCAGCCUGAACCACCUGCUGGACAUGCCUCAAUCACCAGGCAGACACACUUCAUCCACCCGAUAGACAUGCCAGAACCAACUGCAGGACCCACCGGAACCACCUGCCGAACACACAGGAACCAAAUUCCAGUCACAUGGAAACCACCUGUCGGAUACACUGGAACUAGGUGCCUGGUUCACUGAAACAACAAGCUGGAUACGCCGGAACCAGGUGCCAGACAUGCUGAAACCAGGUACCAAAUAUGCUAAACCCACCUUUUGAAUAUGCCAAAACCAGGUGCUGGACACUCGCAAACCACCUGCUGGACAUAGCCAGACCACCUUUCGGACAUGUCAGAACCACAUUUCAGAAACACCUGGACCACGGGAUGGCCAUGUCUGGAACACGUGCCAGGUGCACCUGGCCUACCUGACGGACAUGCCUCAACAACCUGCUGGACACGCCCGAACUAUCUGCCGGACAUAGUGAAAUGAUCCACUGGAAAUGCCAGAACUGCCCAGCAGACAUGACAGAACCACCUUCCGGUCUUGCCCCAGCCACAUGCUGGACACUCUGGAACCACCUGCCUGGCACGCAGGAUCCACCUGCCGGAUAUGCCAGAACCAGGUGCUGGACUCGCCAGAACCACCUGCAGGACUGGAGGGAACCACCACCCGGACAUGCCGGAACCACCUGCUGGACAACCCUUAACCACCAGCCAGACAUGCUGGAACCACAGACCAGAUAUGCAGGAAGGUCAUGCUAGACACAGCAGAGCCACCUGCCAUACCUACCUGGACCACCUGCCACACACGCCUGAAGAACCUACUAAACACUUCCGAACUGCCUCCAGACAAACCCAAACCACCAUUCUGACAUGUCAGAAACACGUUUCAGAAAUGCCUGGACCACGGGACUGCCACGCCUGUAGCAGGUGCCAGAAGCACCUGCAUCACCUGACGGGCAUGCCUGAACAAUCUGCCAGACAUGCCAGAACCACCUGAUGGACAUGCGAGAACCACUUCCCUGAGAUGAUGGAACCACUUUUCUGACAAGCAGGAACCAUGCCCCGGACACACAGUAACCACAUGCAGGACAUAAUGAUCCACCAGCUGGACACAACUGAUCCACCCACCAAACGCAGCUGAAUCACCCACGGGACACACCAGAAUCACCUGCCAGACAUGAUGGAACCACCUUCCGGACAUGCUGGAACCACUCAUUGGACACACUGGAACUACCCACUGGACAUGAUGGAAUCACCUUCUGGGCAUGCCAGAACCACCUGACUGACAUGCAGGAACUAACUGACUGAGACACCAGAAUCACCCGCCAGUCAUGCCAGAACCUCCUGCGGGACACACCACAACCCCCUGCCAGUUACAGCAGAACCAGCUGGCAGGAACACCAGAACUGGCAGAUGGACAAGCCUGAACAACCUGCCGGAGCAGCCCGAAUCACCCACCGGACAUGACUGAACCACCUGCCAGACAUGCCAGAACCACAUGCUUGACUCGCCAGAACAACUUACUGGACGUGCUGAAAUCACCUGACGGAUACUCCAGAACCAGGCCACUUAUAUGCAGGAACCACAUGCAGGACAAGCUGGAAUGACCCGACGGGCAGCCUGAACCACAACUCAGACACACCGGAACCACCCACCAGACACACCAGAGUCAGGCCCGGGACACAGCACAACCAACUGCAGGACAUGUAGGAAUCACCUGUAGGACACACCGGAACCACCUUAAGAAAAUACUGGAACCACGUGCCAGACACACAGGAACCACCUGCCAGACACCAUGGAACCAACUGUCAGAUACGCUGGAACCAGGCACCUGAUACGCUGAAACCACCUGCUGAAUACACCAGGACCAUGUGCCAGACACGCCGGAAGCAUGUGAUGGAUACACCAGAAACAGGUCCAGCACAGGCCAGAACCAGGUGCAGGACAUGCCUGAAACACCUGCUGGACACACCUGAACCACCUGCUAGACCAGCCUAAACCACUUUACGGACAAUCCAGAACCACAUGCUGGGCACACCAGAACCAGGUGGCCAACACACCAGAACCACCUGCUGGACACGCCUGAACCACCAGCCAGUCUUGUAAGAACCACCUGACAGAUGCACCAGAAACACCUGCCAGAUACGCCAGAAACAGGUGUCGCACAUGCCAAAACCAGGUGCCAGACAUGAUUAAACCACUUGCAAGACACGCCAGAACCAGGUGCCCCACACGACUGAAUCACCUGAGGGACAAGACUGAACCAUCUGCCAGAGAGGCCUGCACCACCUGCCAGACAUGCCGAAACCACUUUCUGGACUGUCUGUUGCAGAUGCCAGAACCGCCCACUGGACAUGGGUGAACCAGCUGCCUGCCACGAUGGAACGAACUGCCGGAAUCUUGGAACCACCAAUGGGACACUCUGGAACCACCCACCAGAGACUCGAGAAUCAGGGCCAGGACACGCCAGAAGUACCCACAGGACACACUGGAAGCACCUGACUGACAUGCAGGAACCACCUUCUGGACACGAUGGAACCAUGACUAUGGCACUCCAGAACCAACUCCUGGACAUGCCGGAAGCACCCAACGGACACGCCGGAACCAUCUUCCAAACAUAGAAGAACCACAUGCCAGACACACAGGAACCACCUGCCAGACACGUCAGAACCACCUGUUGGAUAUGCCGGAAUCAGGUGCCAGAUACACUGAAACCACCUGCUGAAUACACCAGAACCAGGUGCCGGACACGCCACAAACACCUGCCAGACAAGCCAGAACCACCAGCCUAACAUGCCAGAACAACCUGCUGGACACGCCAAAAUCACCUGUAGUUCCGGCGUGUCCAGCACGUGGUCCUGGCAUAUCUGAGAGGUGGUUCCGGCAUGCCAGGCAUGUGAUUUCAGAGUGUCCGUGAAGUGGUUCUGGCGUAUCUGGCAGGUGAUUUCGGUGCUCUGUCGUGUCCAGGACCUGGUUUUGGCAUGUGCAACACCUGUUUCUGGUGUAUCCAGGAGGUGGUUCUCACAAGAUUGGCAGGUGGUUCAGGCUGGUCUAGCAGGUGGUCCUGGCGUGUCGGGCACCUGGUUCCAGUGUGCCUGGCAUGUGGUUCCGGAUUGUCCAUCAAGUGGUUCAGGCUGGUCUAGCAGGUGAUUCAGGUGUGUGUGGCAGCUGUUUCAGGCAUGUCCGGCACCUGGUUCUGGCCUGUGCCAGACCUGUUUCUGGUGUAUCCAUCACAUGGUUUAGGAGUGUCCAGCACAUGGUUCUGGCAUAUUCGGCAGUUGGCUUCAGUAUCCUGGGCGCCUGGUUCUGGCGUAUCUGACAGUUGGUUCCGUGGUGUCUGGCAGUUGGUUCCCGUGUGUCUUGUGUGUGUGUUUCCAGUACAUUCUUAAGGUGGUUCUUGCGUGUCUGGCUGGUGGCUACUGUGUAUCCGGGACCUGAUUCCGGCGUGUCCAGUUGGUGCUUUCAGAGUGUCUUGGUGUUGGUUCCGGCGUGUCUGGCAGUUGGUUCCCACAUGUCCGGUGGGUGAUUCUGGCAUGUCUGGCAGGUUGUUCUGGCCUUUGACAGAAAUUGGUUCUGGCAUAUCCAGGACCUGGUUCUGGUGUAUCCGGCAGGUGAUUUUGGCGUGUCUGGCAGGUGGUUCCGGUGAGUCAAGCAGGUGGUUCUGGCGUGUUUGGCAGGUGGUUCAGGCGUGCACAGCAGGUGGUUUAAGUCUGUCCAGGAAGUGGUUCCGGCAUGUCUGGCACAUGGUUCUGGCUUAUUUGGCAGGUGGCUUCAGCGUACCACGUGCCUGGUUCCGGCAUAUCUGACAGUUGGUUCCAUGGGGUCUGGCAUGUGUUUCUGGUACAUUCUUAAGGUGGUUCCUGCAUGUCCGGCAGAUGCUUCAGUCUUGUCUGGCAGUUGGAUCAGUCAUGUGGGACACCUGGUUCUGGCGUGUGCUGCGCCUGUUUCUGGCGUAUCUGGCAGGUGGCGCUGGCGUGUCCGGCAGGUGGUUCCAUUAUGUCUGGCACAUGGUUCCUGGGUAUCAUGCAGGUGAUUUUGACGCGUCCUGUGGGUUGUCCCAGCGUGUCCAACACCUGGUUCUGGCAUGUCCAGGAGGUAGUUUUAGCGAAUCAGGCACCUGGUUCCAGCGUAUCCAACAGGUGGUCCUGGCAUGUCUGGUAGGUGAUUCUGGUGUGUGCGGCACAUGGUUGCGGUGUAUCUGGCAGGUGAUUUCAAUGCGUCCAGCAGGUGUUUCCAGCAUAUCUGGCACCUGGUUCUGUCAUGUUUUGCAGGUUUUUCAUUCAUUACCUGCACCUGUUUUUGGCGUGUGCAAUACCUGUUUCUGGAUUAUACUUCAGGUAGUCCCAGUGUGCCCAGCAGGUGGUUCUUGCAAGUCUGGCAUGUGGCUCAGGCACAUCCAGCAGGUGGUUCUGGCGUGUUGGACACCUGGUUCCAGCAUUUCUGGCAGGUGGUUCCCGACCAUUCAGCAGGAGGUUGCACCAUGUCCCCUACCUGAUUGCGACGUGUGUUUUGCGUGGUUCUGGUGUGUCUCUGUAGUGCCUCCAGUGUGUCCUGCAGGUGGUUCCGGCACAUGUGGUCAGUUUUCCCGGCGUAUAAGGAGAUUGGUUCCAGCCGUCAGUCGAGUCUGGCUGUUGGUUGCAGCUUAUCCAGGGGUGGUUCUGGCAUCUCCACAAGGUGGUUCCAGUGUGUCCAGCAGGUGAUUCCAACAUGUCUUGUGGGUGGUUACGGCACAUAACCCCAGGCCAGAUAUAAUUAAAUGAUACGUUGGAUAUGCCAAACCACUUGCUGGAAACACCCAGACCACCUGCUGGACACUCCCAAAGCACUUCCCGGAGAGGAGCAAAUCAGAUGUCUGGCACACCCAAACCAUCUUUUGGGCACAUCAGAACCAUAUUUCAGAAAUGCCUGGAGAGGUCGGCCAUGCCAUGUGCCAUGCCAUGUGCCAGGUGCACCUGGACCAGCUGACUAACAGGCCUGAACAUCUUGCCAGACUUGCCAAACUACCCUCUGGCCAUACCGCAACCAUCCACCAGAAACGCCUGAACCACCUGCCUGACACGCUGGAACCAACUGCUGGAAACAUGGGAGCCACCACCUGCAAACUCUGGAACCAACCCCAGAGAAGCAAGAAUCGGGUCCCGAACAUGCUGGAAGCACCUGCCGGACAUGGUGGGACAACCUGCAUGAACUGCCAGAAUCACCCACCGAACACAAUGGAACCACCUUCCUGACACGCCAGAAGAACCUGUCUGACACGCUGGAACCACCUGCCAGGCACGAUGGAAUCACAUUUUGGACAUGCUGGAACCACCCUAGGACAUGCUGCAACAAACCGCCAGAGAUGACUGAUCUACCUGCUGGACAGAACUGAUCCACCUGUCAACCAUGGCUGAACCAGCAGCUGGACACAGCAGAAACACCUGCCUGACACCCCAGAACCACCUUCCUGACAAGCUGGAACCACAGGUCGGAUACAGCAGAAGUAGGUGCCAGACAAUGCAAAUGCACCUGCCAGAUAUGCCAGAACCAGGUGCCAGACAUACCAGAACCACCCUCCAGACAUGCCAGAGCUAACUGCCAGACAUGCCGGAAGCACCCACCGGACACGCCAGAACCACCUUUCGAACAUAACAGAACCACAUGCCAGAUACACCUGCCCCACCUGCCAGACAUGCCUGAACCACCUGUUGGGUAUGCCAGAACCAGGUGCCGGACACACCAGAACCACAUGCCGAACAAUCUGGAACCGCCUGCCAGACACGCCAAAACAACCUGCUGGACAUGCUGAAUUCACCUGCCACACAUGCUGGAAUCAUCACCCAAACAUGCCAAAACCACCAUCUGACAUGAUGGAAUCAGGUCCUGGACACGACAUAGCCAGAUUCAGGGCACACCGGAAUCACAUGCCAGACAUGUGGGCACCAACUGCUGGACACCCCGGAAGCACUCACCUGACACAUUGGAACCACCUUCCAGACGUACCGGAAACUCAUGCCAGACACUCAGGAACCCCCUGCCUGACAUGCUGGCACCACCUGAAUGACACGCCAGUACUACUGGCAGGGCAUGCCAGAACCACCUGCCGGACAAAGAUGAACUACCUGCCAGACAAGACUGAACCACCUGCCAGAUAUUCCUGAAUCACUUGACAGAUAAUCUGGAACCACAUGCUGGGCAUGCAAGAACCACAUGUCAGAUAUGCCAGUACCAGGUGCUGGACGCCCCAAAACCACCUUCACGACAGGCCUGAACCACCUUCUGGACAGGCCUGAACCACCUGCUGGACAUGCGCAACCAUCUGGUGACUUGCCGGAACAACCUGCCAGACACACCAAAAUCCCUUCCUGGAUACACCAGAAGCACGCCAUUAUAUGCCGGAACAACCCAACAGACAUCCCAGAAUCAACUGCCGGACACUCCAGAAGCACCCACUGGACACGCCGGAGCCACCUUCUGAACAUACCGGAAUCACAUGCCAGACACCUGCCACACAUGCCAGAACCACCUGUUCUAUAUGCGGGAACCAGAUGGCAAAUACACUGAAACCACCUGCCAAAUACACCAGAACCAGGUGCCGGACAUGGCAGAUACACCUGCCUGAAAUGUACAAAUCAGCUGUCAGUUAAGCUGAAACCCUGUGUCGGACAUGCCGAAACCAUCUGCCGGAUACGCCAGAAACAGGUCCAGCACAGGCCGGACCCCGGUGCCGGGCAAGCCUGGAGCUGCUGCAGGACUAGCCUGAACCAUCUGCUAGACCACCCUGAACCACUUUACGGACAUUCCAGAACCACAUGCCGGGCAUGCCAGAACAAGCUGCCUGACACACCAGAACACACUUCCACACAGGCCGGAAAAGCCUGUGGCACAUGCCUAAAUCACCAACCAGACACACAAGAACCACCUCCCAGACAUGCCAAAACCACCACCUGAAAUGAGGGAAUCAGGUCCUGAACACACUGUAGUCACCUGCCUGAUACCACGCAAACACCUGCCAGACACACCAGGACAACCUGUCGGAUACGGCAGAACCAUGGCCAGACACCCUGAAACCACUUGCCAGAGAUGGCAGAACUAGGUGCCAGACACGCCAUAACCACCUGCCAGACAGGCCAGAACAACCUGCCAGACACACCAAAAUCACCUGCUGGAUACGCCAGAACCAGGUCCUGAAUACACCAGAAGCAACUUCCACAGAGUCUGGAAAAACCUGCUGCACAUGCUGAAAUCACCUGCCGGACACGCCGGAACCACCACCUAGACAUGCAAAGACCACUACCCAACAUACAGAAUCAGGUCCUGGACACACUGGAAUCACCCUCUGGACAUGCAGGAACCAAAAGCCGGACAACCUGGAAGCACCCACCUGACACAUCACAACCACCUUCCAAAAAUACCGGAAACUCAUGCCUGACACACAGGAACCCCAAGCCUGACACACUGGAACCACCUGAGUGACACGCCAGUACCACUGGCAGGACAUGCCAGAACCACCUGCCAAACAAGCUGAACCACCUGCCAGAUACGCAUGAACCACUUGAUGGACAAUGUGGAACCACAUGCCGGGAAUGCAGGAACCACAUGUCAGAUAUGCCAGAACCUGGUGCUGGAAGUGCUGAAACCACCUUCUGGACAGGCCUGAACCCACCUGCUGGACACGCAUGAAUGACCUGCCUGGGCACACCGCAACCACCUGCUUGACUUGCUGGAACCAUCAGCCAGAUAGGCCAAAAUAAUCUGCCAGAUAUGCUGGAACCAGGCCCCUAGAUGCCAGAACAACCCAACAGACAUGCCAGAACCACCCGUCGGACACACUGGUACCACCACUCAGACACGCCAGAACCACCCUCCAGACAUGCCAGAGCUAACUGCCAGACACGCCAGAAGCACCCACCGGACACGCCAGAACCACCUUCCGAACAUAACAGAACCAUAUGCCAGAUACCCCUGCACCACAUGCCAGACAUGCCAGAACCACCUGUUGGAUAUGCCUGAACCAGGUGCCAGGUACACUGAAACCACCUGCCGAAUAUGCCAGAAACAGGUGCUGGACAUGGCAGAACCUGGUGCCCUAAGUGCAGAGCCACCUGCUGGACACAACUGAACCACCUGCCAGACUUGUGCGAACCACCUGAUGGACAUGCUGGAAUCACCUGCUAGAUAUGCUAGAAAAAGGUGUCACACACGCCGAAACCAGGUACCGGACAUGAGUGAACAACCUGCCAGACACGCUGGAGCCAUCUGACGGAUAUGCCAGAAACAGGUGUCACACAUGCUGAAAGCAGGUGCUGCACACGACUGAACCAAGUGACGGAACAGCCUGAACCACCUGCUCGACACACUGUAACCAACUUCAGGAUGCACUGGAACCAUCUGCUAAACAUGCCGGAAGCACCUGCUGAGCACGCUGGAACCAGGUGCUAGACACACUGGAACUGCCUACUGGACAUGCCAGAAACACAGGCAAGACACAAUUGAAGGACACACCAGACAUGCCGAACCACUUGCCAGAAACA
ensembl:lncRNA